AUACGGAGGGUGCAAGCGUUAAUCGGAAUUACUGGGCGUAAAGGGUACGUAGGCGGUUAGAUAAGUUGGAUGUGAAAGCCCUGGGCUCAACCUAGGAACUGCAUUCAAAACUGUCUAACUUGAGUGUAUAAGAGGUUAGCGGAAUUCCAGGUGUAGCAGUGAAAUGCGUAGAUAUCUGGAGGAACAUCAGUGGCGAAGGCGGCUAACUGGUAUAACACUGACGCUGAGGUACGAAAGCGUGGGGAGCGAACGGGAUUAGAAACCCCGGUAGUCC
rnacentral:rRNA from 1 species